rnacentral:lncRNA from 1 species
GUUUCAGAUUAUAUAACUAAGGAGUCAGAAACCACAAUUAAAGUUUAUUGCGAAUGUUUUCAAUGUACUGGACAUCAUCUUCAGGCAAUACAUUCCAAAUUUAAAUUAACAGAACACAAACGUUUUUAGAACAAUGCUAGGUUACCAAGGUUACAAUAACUACUACAAUAAACAAAUAAAUAAAUAAAUCUUAAAUGAGCAAAAGUCGGGAGUGUACAAAAUACCUAUUAAAAAUAAUAUGACAGGUAGGAAUGAGACCUACAUAGGGGUGACAACAAGGUCACUAGAACAAAGAUUAUGGGAGCACAAAAGAGACAUGGCUAAAGGAAUGAUGAAUACAGCUCUAGCAGUAUGUGCAUAUGAAAAUGACAUACAGGUGAAUUGGCAUGAAGCAGAAGUGUUAAAAAGUAUAAGAAAAGAAAAACACACAGUAAUGGCCGAA